CGGCUAACUACAACUAACACCAACGCUGCCGCGAUCCAAGAGAUUCCCGCAUGAAUUUCGGUAUAUUUACUGUGUUUUUAAUGGUAUUUUUAUGGGGAUGACCUAAAGGAAGAUUAGGGUAGGCUGCAGUGCUUCAAGAAAGUUGAAAGCCGCGCCAUGCGAGCGAGGUGUCGCCGCUAUCGCCCGUUUCUUCAUGGCGGUGAUGCAGUUCCAUCACAAGAACAGCGUUCACAAGUGAAAUGCCUUUGGACCUUCGUCUAAAACUGAAAAUCGCCUUCUAGAACAACGGAAACGGUGAAGCUUUUCAAUAAAUCGAAACGUGUAAACUUUCCGGCGAUCGCGUUCUGAAGGGCCAUUUGUGCUAGCCGCCCAAGGUUAGUAAUAUACCAACCUUGCUAGCCGCCCACGGAGCUUCAAAAAAAUUUGAAAGACGCGCCGUUGUAGCGCGGUGUCGCCACUAUCGCCCUUUGCGUAUUUGGAGCUUGGGCCUGAGGUUCCCAUUUACCAUCUCAAGAGCCAAGCACGGCGUUCCCUAGUGCAAUACCUUCGUGUGCAGCAGAAAAUCGCCCUCUACAACCAUCGUAGCGGUAAAGCUUGUCAACAAACCGAAAUGUUCCAACUGAUCGUUCUGAAGGGCCCCCUUAGCCUCCCACGCAGCUUCAAAA